AGACUUUUAAAAUUUUAAUUGCGGAUAGAGAUUUGGCGAUCUGUAUGAAUAACCAUGAGACUCACUGUAUAUCAAUAAUCUGAAAUAUAAUUCUUAGAUAAUAUCGUUAAGGAUGUUCUACAAGCCAGUAUUAAACCGAAACUUGGAUUCAUCACGAUAAAAGAAAUGACGUUCUAUAUAGUUUGUACAAGCAGUACGGAACAUACUAUAAUGGUGUAACCAUAGAAAAAUAAUUUAUGUUCAAAGUUAAAUAUAUCCUGUGUGGGCAUCGAGUGAGUACGGGAUGCAAAAAGCGAGGUUAUUCGUGAAAAAUGUCCAAAUCACAUCUUUCAAAAUCUUUGUUCGGUUUGUUACGUUCAUUCGUAUAAAAAAGCCUUGUGUAUCAAAAAUGAAGAAUAAAAGAUGUUUGGCUAAUUUUGUCAUUUCUUCUUUGCAAUGUACACUCUAUUCCGAAAAGGUUUUCACUUACUGCGGUAACAGUCCGGUAACCUAUCAAAGAUGGAUUGUAAUUUCUGGAAUUCUAUGCGCUGAGCAUUGAAUUUU
rnacentral:lncRNA from 1 species